rnacentral:misc_RNA from 1 species
GAGAUUGGCUAUAAAGAAGGUUACUGGUCUACUGUCUUCGUGAUCUUGUGGACUGUUUUUUUUUUUGGUUAAUUCACAAAAUUAGAUUAAUCGCAAACAUUUAAAGCUUCUUUAUCAUAUUAUUUCUAUUGGAAUGAUGAAUUUUGUGUCCUUUUAUAUAUGAAUCAAUUCAUAGUCCACUGACAAUGUUUGUUGUUAAUUGACUAAAUUCCCAAUUUCCCAUUUAUCAUCCAAAUCCAGCAUAUGUUUGUUAUUGGCGAUUAUAUGUAUAUCUAUUCUUCCCUUUUACUUGAUAUUUAAAGAAUAUUUUGGGACAAAGGAAAUGGGAAUAUGAUGGUUGUACUUGUCCGUUGCUCACAUAAAGCUGUGAUGAAUUGUCCUCGUCCUUUAUCCUGCAUUAUAUAGAGGCGUAAAUUUAGCUUCUUUGGGCCUGGAGUGAGAUAAAGAUUACGAUCCAUUGACAGGUUAAAGGACUCUCGACAGAAG